rnacentral:tRNA from 1 species
CAAAGUGUAGCUUAAAUAAAGCUCCUGGCCUACACCCAGAAGAUUCCGAUAACUACGGCCACUUUGA